rnacentral:rRNA from 1 species
CAGGGACCAGUCCAGCGCUGAAUCUCGACGUCUCGGCGUCGCGACGUGUAGCGUAUAGGCGGUGUUCUUGGCUGUGGUCGAAGGCACAAGUUUCCCAUGACCGGGGCGCCAUAGAAGGUGAUAGACCUGUAGCGCCUGAGACCGCAGUCAACCGCGCCGUCUUGGAGUCGGGUUGUUUGGGAUCGCAGCCCAAAGAAGGUGGUAAACUUCAUCUAAGACUAAAUAUCCCUACGAGACCGAUAGCGAACAAGUACCGUGAGGGAAAGUUGCAAAGCACUUUGAAGAGAGAGUUAAAGAGGACGUGAAACCGGUAGGAUGGAAACGGAUAGAGCCAGCGAAGUCGCUCGUAUUCAGCCAAAGGCCCGGGGUUCGCCGCUGUCGUGUUUCUAAUCGUACACGCCGGUGGUCCAGCCCUGGGUUGAGGUGCAUUUGCGGGCGUUUGCGCUGAGACUUGCGAGGCAGCUGCUGGAAGGGCGUUCUAGAGGCUUCCCUUUGGGUUGAACCUGGAUGCCAUGACAGCUGUUUGCCUUGCUCGUACUGGUCUGGCCUACGGACCCUGGUCGUUCCGUUGCCAACGGGCCAAGGCAUCGCAUGCGAUGUCUAGUCUGGGGGUAGCGGGUCGGCUUGGUGUUCCCAGACCGCCUCUCGGUGUAGAAGCUGGUUAUCUCUCCGACCCGUCUUGAAACACGGACCAAGGAGUUUAGCGUAUGCGCGAGUCAUUGGGUGCAAAACCCACAGGCGCAAUGAAAGUAAAGGCUCGGUCGCCGGGCUGACAUGCGAGUGCCGCGGCUUUGGCCUAGGCAUGCAGCAUGGUCCCGUUGCAGCCGCUUGCGGCGCAGCGGAGACAGAGCGUAUGCGCUGAGACCCGAAAGAUGGUGAACUAUUCCUGAGCAGGACGAAGCCAGAGGAAACUCUGGUGGAAGUCCGAAGCGAUUCUGACGUGCAAAUCGAUCGUCUGAC